rnacentral:rRNA from 1 species
UACGUAGGGACCAAGCGUUGUUCGGAUUUACUGGGCGUAAAGGGCGCGUAGGCGGCGUGGUAAGUCACUUGUGAAAUCUCUGAGCUUAACUCAGAACGGCCAAGUGAUACUGCUGUGCUAGAGUGCAGAAGGGGCAAUCGGAAUUCUUGGUGUAGCGGUGAAAUGCGUAGAUAUCAAGAGGAACACCUGAGGUGAAGACGGGUUGCUGGGCAACAACUGACGCUGAGGAGCGAAAGCGUGGGGAGCGAACAGG